rnacentral:lncRNA from 8 species
GUGAGAGUGGGGUAAGGGUGUGAGAGUGGGGUAAGGGUGUGAGAGUGGGGUAAGGGUGUGAGAGUGGGGUAGUGGGGUGUGAGUGGGGUAAGGGUGUGAGAGUGGGGUAAUGGUGUGAGAGUGGGGUAAGGGUGUGAGAGGGGGGUAAGGGUGUGAGAGUGGGGUAAUGGGGUGAUACUGGGGUAAUGGGGUGAUACUGGGGUAAUUUGGUGAUACUGGGGUAAUGGGGUGAUACUGGGGUAAUGGGGUGAUACUGGGGUAAUGGGGUGUGAGGUAAGGGUGGUAUACAUGCUGUGUGUGUAUUUAAUAGAAUACUGAUAUUGAAUCCCAGUAAUAUUGAUGAAUGAUCCUCUCUCUGACAGACCCGUCCCUGCCUGAGGCUGAGAGGAAUAAGAUAGCCAUCGGUGCGUCUGGUCUGGUGCUGGGAGCCAUCUUAGCCUUGGCAGGACUCAUCUACUACAAGAAGAAGUCUUCUGGUGAGGUCAUCAGUGUGUAGAUAACAUAGAUAUAUAAACUCUAGAGAGGACACAGGGCUUUAUAACAGGACAGUAGUGUUAUACAGCACAUGGAAGGAAUGAUGACAACUUGAUGUAAUAGUGAAUAGAACAGAAUAUGGGAUGGUGUUCAUCAAUAUGUGAAUGUUAUAAUGAUUCAUAUUCUCUCUGUCUCUCUCCCUCUCUCUGUCUCUCUCUCUGUCUCUCUCUCUGUCUCUCUGUCCCUCUCUCUGUCUCUCUCUCUGUCUCUGUCUCUCUCUCUGUCUCUCUGUCUCUCUCUCUGUCCCUCUCUCUGUCUCUCUCUCUGUCUCUCUGUCUCUCUCUCUGUCUCUCUGUCUCUCUCUCUGUCCCUCUCUCUGUCUCUCUCUCUGUCUCUCUCUCUGUCUCUCUGUCUCUCUCUCUGUCUCUCUCUCUGUCUCUCUCUCUGUCUUUCUCUCUGUCUCUCUCCCUCUCUCUGUCUCUCUCUCUGUCUCUCUCUCGGUCUCUCUCUCUGUCUCUCUCUCUGUCUCUCUCUCUGUCUCUCUCUCUGUCUUUCUCUCUGUCUCUCUCCCUCUCUCUGUCUCUCUCUCUGUCUCUCUCUCUGUCUCUCUCUCUGUCUUUCUCUCUGUCUCUCUCCCUCUCUCUGUCUCUCUCUCUGUCUCUCUCUCUGUCUCUCUCUCUGUCUUUCUCUCUGUCUCUCUCUGUCUCUCAUAACAGGGGUGCUGUAGUACUAAGGCUUGAAGACACGUUGCUGAAUCUGCAGCAGAAAUGGAUCCUAAAUGAGAUGUUCUCGCCUGUUAUGAAUCAGUGUUCCUGAUUGGACGUUACUGCUGGACUGUUUAACUGGACAUGAAUCAAUACUUUCUUAAUGAAGCAUAUUGUUGGUAACAUAUAUUAUCCUUCCACCUUUCAUAUUAAUCCAUUAACAACUAUAGGCUUGAUAGUAUUUAGACAGUUGUUUAUUACCUUAAUAGAUGUGGUAGAGAUCUGCUAUAACACAGUAAGUUAUUCUAGGGGUUAUUUACCUGCUGUACUGUUGUCUUUUCACUAACAAAUAACACACCUGUUCUUAAAGGAACAGCGGAAUAUGUUCAGUAAAUGGUGAAAAUACUGUGGUAAAACAGGUUUUGAGAGACGCUGGUUAAUGAGAAUAGAUUCAGUCUUUGAUUUCAUUUCUUCAUGUUUUAGACUUUAAAAGUCCCCUGUACUGACAUCACCCUCCUGGAAGUAACCUCCUUCAUGUCUCAUUCAUAAUGUCUAUAUGGUUUCAGCGCCCUUCAUUUUCUGCUCUGUAAUGGUUGUCUUGUCUUCUAUAUAACUGGGACAUAUUUUAGACGUUCCUCUGAUUUGGUACAAGCUUUACAAUAAACCAUUAAACAUGUCGUGAUGCAGUCUGUUUACUAGGCUGGUUGAUGUUUUCUUGGUAUCUGAGGCCAAAUGACGGUGGCCUUGAACAAGUCGUGUAUCGGCCACUUCCCUGUGGUUGGUGUGACGUCCUGAAUCCUACAUCGAUCUCUUUCUCCUAUAAACUCCUGUAGAUCUGAAGGAUCCAGGUUUAAACGGUGGUCAUUACCUCAGCUGCCUUCUGAUUGGGUAUCACGUACGACCACAGGGACCAGGGGGAUGUCAUGAACAGUAGAAAGGCUUUGUUAUAGACUUAUUUAUUGAUUUAUUUAUUUCACCUUUAUUUAACCAGGUAGGCUAGUUGAGAACAAGUUCUCAUUUACAACUGCGACCUGGCCAAGAUAAAGCAAAGCAGUUUGACACACAUAACAACACAGAGUUACACAUGGAGUAAAACAAACAUACAGUCAAUAAUACAGUAGAACAAUAAGUCUAAAUACAAUGUGAGCAAAUGAGGUGAGAUAAGGGAGGUAAAGGCAAAAAAAGGCCAUGGUGGCAAAGUAAAUACAAUAUAGCAAGUAGAACACUGGAAGUACAAAUAUAAAUAAUAACUUCUGCUGUUCACGACUAUAGGCCACAUUUACAUAAUAUGCUAAUCCAGUUAUUGUUGACAUCUCAACAUUGACCUGCUUUUGAACAUAUUAUUGACAUGUACAGUAUAUUGCAUGUCAACUGUACAUAUAAAGUGCAAACCUGGGUUUAACCUGCUCUAUACAACACAGGGGCAGGAGCCAUCAGUCCUGAGUCUGCAGAGAGACUGACCACCAUUUAAUGUGGUGACCCACCUAAAGGCUCUCAAAUGUUCUUUACUAGAUAAUAAAAACAUGUUUCUAGUCUGGUCUGGAGCUACAGCCCAGUGAGAAUGACCUGGGAAACCCUGGGUUACAACUCCUC